UGCAAGUCGAACGAACCUUCGGGUUAGUGGCGGACGGGUGAGUAACGCGUGAGAAUCUGCCCUCAGGAGGGGGAUAACGGUUGGAAACGACCGCUAAUACCCCAUAUGCCUACUGGUGAAAUGAAUUUCGCCUGAGGAUGAGCUCGCGUCUGAUUAGCUAGUUGGUGUGGUAAUGGCUCACCAAGGCUUCGAUCAGUAGCUGGUCUGAGAGGAUGAUCAGCCACACUGGGACUGAGACACGGCCCAGACUCCUACGGGAGGCAGCAGUGGGGAAUUUUCCGCAAUGGGCGAAAGCCUGACGGAGCAACGCCGCGUGAGGGAAGAAGGCCUCUGGGCUGUAAACCUCUUUUCUCAAGGAAGAAGAUAUGACGGUACUUGAGGAAUAAGCCACGGCUAAUUCCGUGCCAGCAGCCGCGGUAAUACGGGAGUGGCAAGCGUUAUCCGGAAUUAUUGGGCGUAAAGCGUCCGCAGGCGGCUUUUCAAGUCUGCUGUUAAAGCGUGGAGCUUAACUCCAUCAUGGCAGUGGAAACUGAAAGGCUUGAGUAUGGUAGGGGCAGAGGGAAUUCCCGGUGUAGCGGUGAAAUGCGUAGAUAUCGGGAAGAACACCAGUGGCGAAGGCGCUCUGCUGGGCCAUUACUGACGCUCAUGGACGAAAGCCAGGGGAGCGAAAGGGAUUAGAUACCCCUGUAGUCCUGGCCGUAAACGAUGAACACUAGGUGUCGGGGGAAUCGACCCCUUCGGUGUCGUAGCUAACGCGUUAAGUGUUCCGCCUGGGGAGUACGCAC
rnacentral:rRNA from 1 species